CCUCAAAAUGAACUAAGUGUUAGAACCCUUAGUAAAAUUCUAAGUCUUAAGAUCUUAUUAACUUUGUUUUGGGGUGCUAACAUCGCUAAAACUUUAUGGGGUGUUACAACCAACCCACCUUAAUUAGACUAAAAAUGCCUUCCCAUAACCCGACCCUAUUCUAUUAUUACACAUAAAUUUGUACAGGUUUCCUAAACCUAAUCCCAUUAUCGCCGUAAAACAAGCUCCUGCACCUAAGAAUUGUUGUUCAUCUCCAUCUAAAGAUAAGCAUUCCCCUUACUGCUCUUGUGGAUUACAAAUCAUCUGCCAUAGUUUAUUCCUGCUUUUGACCUUGCCAACUCUCAAAAUUAAGAGAUUCUUUCGCUUAUGCUGUUUCCACCUGAUGUAUGAGCUGAAGGUUCUCUUUAUGUGUUGUUGUAAGAGAACAUCCAUGGCUACUAUUUGAAAUUUGAAUCCAGUUCAACCUUCACACGUGCACAACUUGGUAUCGUUUGAUUUUUAGUAGCCAUGUCAACCAUUGAAGGUUUACCUACUGCAAAAGCUAUUGAAAAAAUAGUUUCCUUUGCAAAGAAAUUGGGUGGUAAAUCCGUCAUUGAGAUCCAAGUAACUCCAAUGGUUGUUUCUACAUCAGGUUCGAACCAGGGAUCCCACUUAAGGGUUCUCAUCUGCCACAGUCUUUAUUUUAAUUUUAUAUAAAUUGCAGCUGUCGACAUUAAAUUAACAUAAUCUUCUAACAUAUUCAGCCUGAUCAGAAUGUCUAGAAUCCAUUACACUUAUAUUGCAGUCCCCCUUGAUAUUGCAUUGUACAGGUAUUUGUUUUCACAGUUCCGUGAUAUCAGGUUUUCCGUUGGAGAAUAUUUCAAUAACAGCACAUUGUAAAUUCUUUUUUAUAAUUAGAUCCCUUAUUUCAGAUGAUUUCCAUGUAAUACUGGGCUCUCCAUGAAACAUGACUACCGAUUUUAGGAAAAUUUGAUUAUGUACUUUAUCCGCC